AGAGUUUGAUCCUGGCUCAGGAUGAACGCUAGCGGCGGGCCUAAUACAUGCAAGUCGAACGGGAAUGGUAGCAAUACCAUGAGAGUGGCGUACGGGUGCGUAACACGUAUACAAUCUGCCCAUUACACGGGGAUAGCCUCGCGAAAGUGAGAUUAAUACCCGAUGGUACUACUGAGAGGCAUCUUUUGGUAGUUAAAGCUGUGGCGGUAAUGGAGGAGUAUGCGUCCCAUUAGCUAGUUGGUAGUGUAACGGACUACCAAGGCGACGAUGGGUAGGGGUUCUGAGAGGAUGAUCCCCCACACUGGUACUGAGAUACGGACCAGACUCCUACGGGAGGCAGC
rnacentral:rRNA from 1 species